rnacentral:lncRNA from 1 species
UUUUUUUUUUUUUUUUUUUUUUUUUUUUUUUUUUUUUUUUUAGUAUUUCCUUCCCUUCCUCUUGGGGAAAAGUCUGAUUAGUUCUGGCAUCUGUCAUAAUUUUUGCCUCUUACUACUGAAGCAAAGAUUAUGUGUGUAGCAAUUAGUUUUUUUUCUCAGUUAGUGGAUCAAGUGCAAGAAUUUGUUAGGAGCCGACUCUGUCUCAGAGAGAUCAGGACAUAGUUCUGCCUAUAGUAUCUGUAGUUAUUAGGGAGAUUCUCUUCAUACAUGUAUAUGCAUUUCUUGGUUUUUACUAAUUAUUGCUUACAACCACUACAAAAAUGAUCAAGUUUCAUGGGAACAAUUCAUUGUUUUUGAAGUAUUUGGUUUUCAAGAUAGCAGUGAAGAAGUAAUUGGCAUUUUAAGUACAUUGCCUUCUAAUUUCAUUUCAUAUUCUGCUUGUCUUACAUUAUGUAAAGACAAACAAUCAGGACUUUGCUCAUGGCCUUCUCAGCUCCAUUUCAGCACUACUUAUUGCUUGCUCUCCAUGAAUCACUCCCCUCUGCUCCCCCACUGAAUUCUGGAAAUGAGACAGGCAUCACAAUAGCUGACCUUGUUUGUAUCAGUGUUAAAGAACUAUUUGAAACCAUUUGUCUUUCUCAAAGCAAGACCUUUCUAUUUUCAUUUUUUUGCUGCUUGACAGGACAGAUAGCCUGGUGCAUAUUUCCCCUGGCAUGAGAUUUUUGUGCAGUUACUUUUCUGUGCCAGUUCUGUUUAUUUAUUUAGCAUGGAUUUAUCCCACCUGUGCAUAGUUUGUAUUUCCUCAAAAUAAUCUCUAUUAAAAUACACUGAGGUAUGUAUUUCUUUCUAUUUCCCCCCCCUCUCUAAUUCCCAAUAAGUAAUUUGACAAGAUUAUGGAGAUGAGGAUCUCACUUCUAUUCGCAAACUGAUGUGGUACUAUAAUCUUCAGAGGUUACCUUUCAGCUUGCACUGGAGAUUACCUGUACAUCCCCAGAAGUGAAGAGUGAACAUGACUGGACAGGUGUAAUUAUGUUGCACUGUGACAUGAAAUAACUCAUACACUCACUUAAGAUGUAAUAGAAGGAAAAGAGGAAGUUUUAUUUCUUACCUCACAAUAUAUAGAAUUCUAAAAGCGACAGUGGAUUGGAGGAUGAAAUUGCUACCUCUCUAGCCACACUAGUCAAACUAACAGUCCAUCAAUUCUCUCUUCCCACAAAGAAGAAUGCAAAACAAUCAUUAUUUAUAUGAACAGUGCAUGAGAACUCUAGUAGAAAUAUGUAAACAUCAGAAGGUACAGAAAACUUUUAAAAGAACUUUAAAACUUCUAAAAGAACACAGCAAUAUAAUUCGACUUUUAAUAAUUCCAAAAUACUAAAACAGUAUUCUGUCUCCUCCACCCCCUGGUUCCACUAAGUUGCAGUUUCUUUAUUUCACUGAUGACUAUGAUGAGUAAUAUUGAAGAUCAAUAGCAGAAUGUUAUUUAUGGGGUCCAUGCCACUUACCAUUAAAAAUCAUACAACUCCAGUUUUCUAAACAGAUGGGGAAAAGGUUGCAUGGAGCAGUUAACUGGCUUGAAGAGGAUCAAAAUUGUGCAGUCUCAGCAGAACUUUUAUUGAAAACUGUGUCUCUGGCUCCAGCCUUUUUUUCUCAGUGCAGUUGCUUUAGUGCUGCUUUAUGCUCCUGUUCCUUGAAGGCCAUGUCAUGUGUGCCAUUCCCGACUCACACAGCACCCACAGCUGCAGGCACGGAGCCUACUGGCACCAUUCCAAUACUCCUGAAGACCCUUGCCUCUACAAGUGGGCCACAAAAGGUAAAUUAGCAGCUUUAUUUCAUGUCCAUGCCUAUAGAAGAUUGGGAUAACAACCAUUCCUUCUUACUCUUCCUCCUGGGCUUGCUUGGAGUAAAUACAAUUGAGUUUGGUUUACAAUCAAGCCUUUCUAAUGCAAUUGAAAACACAUUUAUAUGGCUUUCUGUGAGGAGCUCUCUUCAUACAGGUGUGUGGGUGCAGCCUCAUCAGUCUUCCAGUUAAAAAAUUUAAUUGUCUACUCAGACCUGGUCCUGCUUCAAAUGAAAUUACCAUCUGAAGUCCCAAAAAGUUCAGGGGUGUAUGAUUAAAUUAUUUGCAGGUGUGUUUACCCAUUUCUUUCCAAUCCAUCCCAUUGGUGUUGCUAUUGCUUCUGUUCCACAGAUGGCAGCUUCAGUGUUAGUAACAUGGCAAAGGUGGAAGACAAAGCAUAUCUGUUUUACUUCUUCAAUUAGUUUAAAAUUUUUAAAAUAUGCUUAAAUGUUUUUAGAAAACAAUAAUCAUUAAGCCACUUGCUUGCACUGCUCACCAAGACCUACUUUAGUAAAGCAACAAAAGCAGAUUUUAGUGCAGUACUUUAGGGGUUUUUAAAAUCUGAAAUCUGAGAAAAGCUGGAAUAUUAUCCCAGAGCUGUAAAAGGGGAAAGGACAUACCUUUUUCUUUAGAUUCACAACAGAAUAACUCCUAGAAUUGUGUAGUUGUUGUUGUUGGUUUGUUUUGAUUAUUUUAGCUUCUCAGUUGCAUCAUGUACUGCCAUGAUGAAUUUGGUUUAGGAUUUGUCAUCUAACCCAGAAGAUAAUUUACAGGUCAAUAAGAUGCUUCAGCUGAAUGUCAAUAAGCACUCUUUAAAUACAUUCAGCUUCUCAGGACUCAUUUGGGAUCAGUAGUAUUAGGGAUAAGAGUUUAUGCAUGUAUUAGUACAUGUGUUUUACAGAUGAAGAAGAUGUUAAAUUAGUUCACCAAUGACCAAAGAAACAGUAUAUGGCCAGAGGUAGUAAGAACCUGCACUAAAGCUGUAAUUUUAUAGUUUCACCCUGGUGUCCCAGUUAGCCAAGAUGUUUUAGCUGCAAACUGGUGCAAAAAGGCAUCCCCAUCUGUCUGGAAGGGACCAAGAAGAGAAUUUUGCAGAGGAUGUGCCUAAAAACAUGGCAUCAGGCAGGAGGUGAAUUCUAUAUGUUAAAUAGAGGAGUCUACCUAAAAGAAGGCGUCACAAAAAGGGAAAGAAAGUUGAUGGUGGCCAUGAACUUUGGCCACCUGGGGUGUGUGUAGACUGUGGAGAUGGUUAUAGAAGCUUGCUCCUUGGAGAUGGUGGCAGGAACAAAAGGAAGCUCCUGGAAGCCUGACUCCCACUCUUCAGCUCUCAUAGCAAGCAGAAUUCCCAGAGAUGGAUAAGUGAAUAUGCCUGUGAAGACUGUGUUGAACACUAUUAUUGUAAUGCUUUUGAUCGAUUGUCACAAAGUGCUGCUGAGUGUGUUUUUGAAGGGAGAGAGGCAGAUAGCAAAAUUUUGGUACCUGUCAUGGAGAUAAUUAUUUUUGUAGCUAAAGGGAGGGAAAACAGGAAAGGGAAAUGGAGCAUCUCACGCUUCAGGUAAAAGUGAUUUUUCAAAUAGGAAAAUAAUUAAGCUGAACUUCUAUUUACAUGAUUGAAACUGAUUAUAUUUGGGCAGCUGAUCGGAACAAAGUUCUCAGAGCUAAGAAAUGAUUUUGCAAGUAACAGGGCAGAAGGGAAGGAUAAUAUAAUUGUAUCAAUGACAGCAGAUGCAGUAGUUUUCCCCUCAAGUUAUUUGUGACUAAAGUUGUCAUAUGCAUGUGCAAAAUAUUAAUGAUCUAUUAGAACAGUAGCCAUGUGUAUACAUUACAUAAAUAUGGCCAUAUAAUAUUUUCUAUGUACUUAUCUUCUUCUGUAUAAGAAAGUAUCAAAGGGAAAAUUUAGAGUUUUCUGCAAACUAGUUAUAUAAAUUAUAUAACCAUUGCAAGCAGGAUGUACUUUUAUAUUAAUGCCAAUUUUUCAAAUUAUUUCAGGGGAAAUUACUCAGGUUGGAAAAUUUCAAGAAUUAAAUUAAAGAAAGUAAAAGAAAAUUGAGAAAGUUACAGAAGAUGUAAUAGAGCUACUGUGGUAAUAGCUAUUGUGGUGAUCACUUGUGAACACACUAUAUCCUUUUUGUGUGGAAAUAAUAUUGCUGUGAGUUACAGCUCUGGUAUUUCCUCUUCUGUUAGAUAUCAGGUUGUGUUUUUGUAAUUUUGUUGAGAGUCACAGCAAUGAAUUGGUAUCUCUGUAAUCUCUUGCCUCAAGAUGCAAGAGCAAAGUUGUAACAAACAGCGUACAAGUCACCUUCCAAUUAUAGCUAAAUUAAAUGUUAAGGUAGUAUAUGCAAACCUACCCUGAAAAAGAAAGCUUGUUUUGUACAAAGGUGUUUGUGUUCUUCUGGGUCUGUAUUUCUAGAGUCAUGGGGUUGGUGGAAGGGAGAAUAACUGCCAAGCAAGAAACUCUUAGCUACUUGGCUCUUUGAUUUGCAAAUAAGACCAGGUAUACAUAUUAACACUUAGUAAAACUGGAGCCUUACAACAACAACAUGUAUAGUUAGAUUUCAACUUUUUCCCGGUCAGAUGCAAACUUGUGCUGAAAACAAGUCCCUUUGUAGAGAUCUGACAAAGCUGCCAAGCCCAGGGGCUGGCACUGACUGCAGGCCACACCACAUGCUCAGAGAUUGCUUGUGUACAAAGGAGGUAAAAAUCAACAUAUUGAUUUGAAGGCAAAAAUCAACAGGAGUUUUGGAGGUAAAAAUCAACGUAUGUCCACCUCCAUGCUGUUAUGACAAAUUCCAGCAGCCAUGCUCAGGCUGAAAAGACAUUUUACUAGCGUGGUGGUUUGUCCACUCAAAACACCAAGGCAGAAAACAUUCUAUAAAUGGGAAGAAAUACAGAGCAUAAACUGGAAGCAAUUUGGAAAUUAUAUUUUUUCUCUCAAACCAAACAUAACCCAACACUCUGAGAUGAAAGCAUAAUUACUGAAUAAAGAUAUGGUCAGGCAGCCAGACAAAUGGAAAAUGAAUCCAACCGUGUUAAGCUUGAUCCUGCCCUGCUUUGGGAAAAAUUGCUUCUUAAAUACAUUUAAUUGUGUAAAUUUAACAUUUCACCUCAAAGUAUUAUAUUUGCUUCAAUACAGACUUUGUGGUCUGAAGGGUUCUUCUAAACCAGUUGGCUGAAAAUCAAGGACAGUGAGAGAAAAAUAAUAUGAGAAUUAUUUCUGUGGGGUUUAUUUGCACUGUUGUUCUCAGAAAAAAAA